rnacentral:rRNA from 1 species
UACGGGGGGGGCAAGCGUUGUUCGGAAUUACUGGGCGUAAAGGGCGCGUAGGCGGUUUGGACAGUCAGAUGUGAAAUUCCUGGGCUCAACCUGGGGGCUGCAUUUGAUACGUUCGGACUAGAGUGGGGAAGAGGGUCGUGGAAUUCCCAGUGUAGAGGUGAAAUUCGUAGAUAUUGGGAAGAACACCGGUGGCGAAGGCGGCGACCUGGUCCUUGACUGACGCUGAGGCGCGAAAGCGUGGGGAGCAAACAGG